AGACCCGAAACCCGGUGAUCUAGCCAUGGGCAGGUUGAAGGUUGGGUAACACUAACUGGAGGACCGAACCGACUAAUGUUGAAAAAUUAGCGGAUGACUUGUGGCUGGGGGUGAAAGGCCAAUCAAACCGGGAGAUAGCUGGUUCUCCCCGAAAGCUAUUUAGGUAGCGCCUCGUGAAUUCAUCUCCGGGGGUAGAGCACUGUUUCGGCAAGGGGGUCAUCCCGACUUACCAACCCGAUGCAAACUGCGAAUACCGGAGAAUGUUAUCACGGGAGACACACGGCGGGUGCUAACGUCCGUCGUGAAGAGGGAAACAACCCAGACCGCCAGCUAAGGUCCCAAAGUCAUGGUUAAGUGGGAAACGAUGUGGGAAGGCCCAGACAGCCAGGAUGUUGGCUUAGAAGCAGCCAUCAUUUAAAGAAAGCGUAAUAGCUCACUGGUCGAGUCGGCCUGCGCGGAAGAUGUAACGGGGCUAAACCAUGCACCGAAGCUGCGGCAGCGACACUGUGUGUUGUUGGGUAGGGGAGCGUUCUGUAAGCCUGUGAAGGUGUGCUGUGAGGUAUGCUGGAGGUAUCAGAAGUGCGAAUGCUGACAUAAGUAACGAUAAAGCGGGUGAAAAGCCCGCUCGCCGGAAGACCAAGGGUUCCUGUCCAACGUUAAUCGGGGCAGGGUGAGUCGACCCCUAAGGCGAGGCCGAAAGGCGUAGUCGAUGGGAAACAGGUUAAUAUUCCUGUACUUGGUGUUACUGCGAAGGGGGGACGGAGAAGGCUAUGUUGGCCGGGCGACGGUUGUCCCGGUUUAAGCGUGUAGGCUGGUUUUCCAGGCAAAUCCGGAAAAUCAAGGCUGAGGCGUGAUGACGAGGCACUACGGUGCUGAAGCAACAAAUGCCCUGCUUCCAGGAAAAGCCUCUAAGCAUCAGGUAACAUCAAAUCGUACCCCAAACCGACACAGGUGGUCAGGUAGAGAAUACCAAGGCGCUUGAGAGAACUCGGGUGAAGGAACUAGGCAAAAUGGUGCCGUAACUUCGGGAGAAGGCACGCUGAUAUGUAGGUGAAGUCCCUCGCGGAUGGAGCUGAAAUCAGUCGAAGAUACCAGCUGGCUGCAACUGUUUAUUAAAAACACAGCACUGUGCAAACACGAAAGUGGACGUAUACGGUGUGACGCCUGCCCGGUGCCGGAAGGUUAAUUGAUGGGGUCAGCGCAAGCGAAGCUCUUGAUCGAAGCCCCGGUAAACGGCGGCCGUAACUAUAACGGUCCUAAGGUAGCGAAAUUCCUUGUCGGGUAAGUUCCGACCUGCACGAAUGGCGUAAUGAUGGCCAGGCUGUCUCCACCCGAGACUCAGUGAAAUUGAACUCGCUGUGAAGAUGCAGUGUACCCGCGGCAAGACGGAAAGACCCCGUGAACCUUUACUAUAGCUUGACACUGAACAUUGAGCCUUGAUGUGUAGGAUAGGUGGGAGGCUUUGAAGUGUGGACGCCAGUCUGCAUGGAGCCGACCUUGAAAUACCACCCUUUAAUGUUUGAUGUUCUAACGUGGACCCGUGAUCCGGGUUGCGGACAGUGUCUGGUGGGUAGUUUGACUGGGGCGGUCUCCUCCUAAAGAGUAACGGAGGAGCACGAAGGUUGGCUAAUCCUGGUCGGACAUCAGGAGGUUAGUGCAAUGGCAUAAGCCAGCUUGACUGCGAGCGUGACGGCGCGAGCAGGUGCGAAAGCAGGUCAUAGUGAUCCGGUGGUUCUGAAUGGAAGGGCCAUCGCUCAACGGAUAAAAGGUACUCCGGGGAUAACAGGCUGAUACCGCCCAAGAGUUCAUAUCGACGGCGGUGUUUGGCACCUCGAUGUCGGCUCAUCACAUCCUGGGGCUGAAGUAGGUCCCAAGGGUAUGGCUGUUCGCCAUUUAAAGUGGUACGCGAGCUGGGUUUAGAACGUCGUGAGACAGUUCGGUCCCUAUCUGCCGUGGGCGCUGGAGAACUGAGGGGGGCUGCUCCUAGUACGAGAGGACCGGAGUGGACGCAUCACUGGUGUUCGGGUUGUCAUGCCAAUGGCACUGCCCGGUAGCUAAAUGCGGAAGAGAUAAGUGCUGAAAGCAUCUAAGCACGAAACUUGCCCCGAGAUGAGUUCUCCCUGACCCUUUAAGGGUCCUGAAGGAACGUUGAAGACGACGACGUUGAUAGGCCGGGUGUGUAAGCGCAGCGAUGCGUUGAGCUAACCGGUACUAAUGAACCGUGAGGCUUAACCUU
rnacentral:rRNA from 1 species